rnacentral:lncRNA from 1 species
CUAAUAUCUUAAAGAUAAUAAUUCACCCCAGGUAGUAUCUAUUCAAUGAUGUCCAGUCAAACUUGUAACAAAAUUAUGCAUGUCAGAGAACAAGCUGAGCCUAAAAUCUGAACAUAAAGUGAAUGAUUAAAAAAACAGACAAUAUUAAAAAUAAGAAAGAGGCGGAUUUAUCAUAUGAUAAUAUUUACUAAAAAGUUGUCGGAAGUUAACGGCACAGUGUGGGUGCAAAGUGGACAUGUAGACCACGCAAAGGAGGAAACACAACCCGUGAUGAGUGUGGUAGGACCAACUGGAUUUCCAUAUGGGAACUAAAGAAAUUCCUUUGGCAGGAAAAGCUGCUAUGAAACACCAGGAAUCACAAAUAGCCUUUAUUUGCCUGUGUUUUGUGGACAUUGGUGUGACUCGCUGCAGGUGCUGAGACGCUGCCUGAGGAGAGCUCGCUCAGACCCAGCUGCGGACCUCACCCGGCACAGGGCAGAUGCACCCGGUUCCCUUUCUAGAAGAUUCUGAGUCUGGAAUGCAUCUGCUCUGAGGGCUCAGGUGGGACACUGUGCACCUGUGUGAGAGGUGGUGCGCAUGGUGGUUCUCCACGCUGUGCCUCCCGGGGCAGAGAGGGAGACCAGAUCGCUUGUUUUCUGAUUUGAAAAACCAGCCUCCAGAAACCACCCCAUCGAUAAGAGGACAGAGCACCAGGGCGGAGUUUGGGUCUCCUUGAAGGAAUGCAAGGUGCGUUUCAGAAACAACCAGAAGCAGGAUGGUGGAAGGACCCCAGUACCUUUGCCUGCCCCUGCCCUGCUCCCCAACACUCAGGCUGAGCCAUGAAGCUCCUUGCUCAGAGGGAGCUGCAGCCCUACAGCCUCCUCCUCGCUGCCGCCUGGGAGACGGUCCCUGGGAGCCACCGUCCCUGGGUCCUGCCAGCAAAGACCAUGAGCUGCGGAGGACAGAUCAAGUCCCCCAGCGACUCCCUGGAGGGGGCCCGUGCCCCGAGGGGGCCCCCCAGCGGCCGUGUCCUCAUGGGUGUGGAAGGAGCAUAACCUAGAGGAGGGACGCCUUUGGAAAGCAUCCCCCGUGCCAGCCAAAGGGUUGAGAGGCAGCCCUUUCUUCUUAUUCCAACUGCUUCCCGGGAGGACGCCCAGCCUGCGGGGAUCUGCAAGGAUUGAGCGUUUGAAUUAUUUAAAGACGGAGCAGGGCCGGGAUGCGGGGAGGCAUCCUGCCGCAGAGACGCCGGGCCUCUUCCCUGUAGAGCUGCGGGGACGCCCCUGGCCGAAGAACCAAGCGCGUGUGUAGAGGCAUCUUGGUGGACUCGCCUGUCCCGUGGGGGGGGGGGGGGGCCCCNCACCCCCUGGGGAAGCCCUCCCCCUGGGCCCUGAGCCAGGCUGCUCCGAGGUGCCAGAUGUGCUCAGAGCUGUGGGUUCUCAUCCUGGCCCUAGUCCUUGGAGCCAGCGGACACCGGGGAAGCAGGUCAG